rnacentral:rRNA from 1 species
UACAGAGGGGGCCAGCGUUGUUCGGAAUUACUGGGCGUAAAGAGUGUGUAGGCGGUGUUCCCAGUCUGUUGUGAAAUCUCCCGGCUUAACUGGGAGGGUGCAGCGGAAACUAGAAUGCUAGAGGGUGGGAGAGGUAAGCGGAAUUCCUGGUGUAGCGGUGAAAUGCGUAGAUAUCAGGAGGAACACCUGUGGUGUAGACAGCUUACUGGACCACUUCUGACGCUGAGACACGAAAGCGUGGGUAGCAAACAGG